UAGGCAGAAGCCAGCAGGUUUAGGCAUUUAGCUGUUAACUAAAAUUUUAUGGGAUCGAAGCCCGUCUGUCUAG
rnacentral:tRNA from 2 species